rnacentral:rRNA from 1 species
UACAGAGGUCUCAAGCGUUGUUCGGAUUCAUUGGGCGUAAAGGGUGCGUAGGCGGCGCGGUAAGUCGGGUGUGAAAUCUGGCCGCUUAACGGCCAGGCGCCAUCCCAUACGGCGCGUCUGGAGUGAUGCAGAGGUCGAUGGAAUUGCCGGUGUAGUGGUGAAAUGCGUAGAGAUCGGCAGGAACACCCAGGGGGAAACCAGUCGACUGGGCAUCUACUGACGCUGAGGUGCGAGAGCGUGGGGAGCGAACCGG